UCCCCGGUAGUCCAGUGGGUAGGACACCGCACUCCCAGUCCAGGGGAUCUGGGUUCAACCCCUGGUCAGGGAA
rnacentral:tRNA from 1 species